UCGAACGGUAAGGCCCCUUCGGGGGUACACGAGUGGCGCACGGGUGAGUAACGCGUGGGUAAUCUACCGUCGGGUCUGGGACAACUCCGGGAAACUGGAGCUAAUACCGGAUAAGACCACGAGGUCUUCGGACUUCGCGGAAAAAGGUGGCCUCUUCUUGAAAGCUAUCGCCUGUUGAUGAGCCCGCGUCCCAUUAGCUUGUUGGUGAGGUAACAGCUCACCAAGGCGACGAUGGGUAGCUGGUCUGAGAGGAUGAUCAGCCACACUGGAACUGAGACACGGUCCAGACUCCUACGGGAGGCAGCAGUCGGGAAUCUUGUGCAAUGGGGGAAACCCUGACACAGCAACGCCGCGUGAGGGAUGAAGGCCCUAGGGUCGUAAACCUCUGUCGGGAGGGAAGAAUUCUCCGGGGGUGAAUAAUCCUCGGAGUUGACGGUACCUCCAAAGGAAGCGCCGGCUAACUCCGUGCCAGCAGCCGCGGUAAUACGGAGGGCGCAAGCGUUGUUCGGAAUCAUUGGGCGUAAAGCGCGUGUAGGCGGCUUGGCAAGUCGGGCGUGAAAGCCCGGGGCUCAACCCCGGAAUGGCGCUCGAAACUGCCUGGCUU
rnacentral:rRNA from 1 species